rnacentral:rRNA from 1 species
CAACUUUCAACAACGGAUCUCUUGGUUCUGGCAUCGAUGAAGAACGCAGCGAAAUGCGAUAAGUAGUGUGAAUUGCAGAAUUCAGUGAAUCAUCGAAUCUUUGAACGCACAUUGCGCCCUUUGAUAUUCCAAAGGGCAUGCCUGUUCGAGCGUCAUUU